rnacentral:rRNA from 1 species
CCGCCGAAUUUAAGCAUAUCAUAAGCGGGAGGAAAA